AACAUGAGUAGAUUAACAGAACUAAUACAGAAGAGAAACGAUGGCAAAAGAACACACAAAUACGACAAAGAAGAACUAGAAUUGAGGAAUACUUACAUUAAAAAAAAUGACAAAGAAUCUGCCUAUCCAAUGUGCCACUCUGACUGCAAUAUCAAGAUAAAAUAUACAAGUUAUAAGCAUAUUGUAUUCCGUGGAAAGUUCAGCAGAGCUAUGAUUUUAAUUCCCUUUAUUGUUAGGUGUUCGUAGUAAUCAAAUCACGUAAGCAUAUUGUAUCCCGUGGAAAGUUCAGCAGAGCAUUGAUUUUAAUUCCAUUUAUUGGUAGGUAUUCGUAGUAGUCAUAUCACGCCUCAGAAGCAUCAACCAAUCCAGCAAAAGUAGAGGCGUAGGAAUAAUUUUUUGUAAGCGAUGUUACAUUUAAAAAACAACUGAUUAUGUUACUGAUAUGAAAAAAUAAAAUGUUGAGACAAGAGGGGUUUCUCUGAUGGUAAGCAACCCUCACUUCCAACCGAGAGGUUGUGAGUUUGAGCCUCCCCAAGAGCAAGGUGGGAUGUUGUUGGAGCGAAGGAUGCCGGGGGUCUAUUUGGAAACAGCUUCUCUACCCAAAGGUAUGGGUAAAAUCUGCGUACACACUACCCUCCCCAGACCCCACUAAGUGUGAUUAUACCAGAUUAUUGUUGUUGUUGUUGUUGAGAAGAGUAACACCAACAAAUCCGGCCACUCAGAAGUUAUAGAUCAUAGAAAAAGAGGAGUAACUUUUGUUUCAAAGUUAUAGUUCUAAAUCCGUUUAAGUUACACAUAAAUAACUGCAAGUUAUAUUUGUUAACUACUUAUCACUUUGAUUAAUGUGUAAUUUAAUCUAAAGAUGCUUUAAAAAGGUGUAAAAAGCGAAGGAUUGGAUUUCGAUCACCCAGUUUUCUGGUUAAAAUGGACGUACUGCCCAUCAGAUUCAGUGUGAAAGCAGUAACGCCACUCAAAUGGCUGGUGUCUGUGUGGUCUUCCACCGACUGUCACAGUGCUUUAAUUUGUUAUAUUAUCAUAGUUCAGCAGGUAGAUUUCGUGGUAUCCAACAUUCACAUGGAUGCUACAUUAUCAUAUUUCUCGAACAAAAAAGAUUUCAAUUAAAAGUAAUCAUAACCGGGCAACAGCAUAGAUUUGUAAGAGAUGCUACGGUGGGACAAUUGUGUGUGUUCUGGAAGAAAUUAGAGGUCAAUUAAAAGAAAUCACAACUGGGUAACAACAUUUGUAAGAGAUGCUACGGUGGGACAAUCGAAUUAAAUUUUGUUUUCUCUAGAUCUAUUGAAUGAAGGAAACACUAUUUAAAAUAUAAUGACUCUAUAAACUGGAAAAUCAUUUACACCUCUUGCCGGAUUCCGAAGAUUACCAUUUAAGUAUAACAACAACAACCCAGUAUAAGCGC
rnacentral:lncRNA from 1 species